UACGAAGGGGGCUAGCGUUGCUCGGAAUUCCUGGGCGUAAAGCGCACGUAGGCGGAUUGUUAAGUCGGGGGUGAAAUCCUGGAGCUCAACUCCAGAACUGCCUUCGAUACUGGCGAUCUCGAGUCCGGGAGAGGUGAGUGGAACUGCGAGUGUAGAGGUGAAAUUCGUAGAUAUUCGCAAGAACACCAGUGGCGAAGGCGGCUCACUGGCCCGGUACUGACGCUGAGGUGCGAAAGCGUGGGGAGCAAACAGG
rnacentral:rRNA from 1 species